ACUCCCUGAAAAUGUGCAAAGAGACACCUUGGUGUUGGUCUUAUUCUUACAUCAGUUGAGGCAGAGAGCAGAUGGAAACCCCUUUGUUCAUCCUAGCUUGAUGCCUGAUUUGGUGGCCAAAGCUGUUUUAUACCCAGGACACAUAA